rnacentral:tRNA from 1 species
UCCCUGGUGGCUCAGAUGGUAAAGCAUCUGCCUACAAUGCAGAAGACCUGGGUUCCUUCCCUGGGCUGGGAA